GGUCCAGUGGCGCAAUCGGUCAGCGCGCGGUACUUAUAAUGCCGAGGUUGUGAGUUCGAGCCUCACCUGGAGCA